UUCAGGCGUAAAUGAAAGCUAGGCUUGAUGCACUUUAAGGGCUCGUUUGUAUCACAGACUGAAAAAAACCUGUGUGGAAGGGCUGGCUGGUUCGCACAAGCCUGGGCUUGCCGAAGAUGGCAGUAAGAACUCCUAGAGGUGCUGGCAGAAGCCCAGUGCCCCAGGGCAUGGGGAGGUGCUGGGAGGUCGGCCUGGAUGGGAACUGGCUUCAUGCUCAAGACUGAUGCUUCUUCAGGGAGAAUUCUUGUCACUUGGCCUUGAUGCACUGGAUUCAAGAAAAUAUCCUGCAGAGUGAUUUGAAGCGUCUCUCUCAUUCAGCAGAAAUUAAGUGGCUGAAGUGAAGACACAGUGGCUAUUCUGGAUCAUGUGGGUGAGGAAAACACCCUGAGAAGGACAAGACUCCCAAGAAUGAAGACGGAACCUCUGAAGACCCCAAUGAACAGGGACACCAUGCCAGCUUGGAGUUCCAAAUCAGACAAAAUCCCUUCUCAUUAACCUGUUUCACAUUUCAGUCCC